UGUUAAAAAUUUUAUCUAUUUGUAUGGUUAAAAACUAACAUAGUUGAUAGAAUAACCAAACAAUUAUAUUUGACGUGACAUGUGUACCUCAUGCUGAUGUAUAAAGACUCAUUUUUAAUAGAAAUAGAUGAAACUUUUGAUA
rfam:Gossypium hirsutum cultivar TM-1 chromosome 16, whole genome shotgun sequence